rnacentral:rRNA from 1 species
AAGUCAUAACAAGGUUUCCGUAGGUGAACCUGCGGAAGGAUCAUUAAUAGUGCCCUCUGAUGCAAAUCAUUGGGUUAGAUCUGCUCUCUUCGCAAGAAGAGGGUUUCCAUACACACCGUGAACUGCGGCUUCGGCCAUCACAAACUGUUAGUAAUGAAUGUAAUAUCAUAACAAAAACAAAACUUUUAACAACGGAUCUCUUGGCUCUCGCAUCGAUGAAGGACGCAGCGAAAUGCGAUAAGUAAUGUGAAUUGCAGAAUUCAGUGAAUCAUCGAACCUUUGAACGCACCUUGCGCCCUUUGGUAUUCCGAAGGGCAUGCCUGUUUGAGUGUCAUGAAACCUCACCCCACUUGGGUUUUUGCCUGAGCGGUGGUGUAUUGGGUGUUGCCUUGCUAAAGGCUCGCCUUAAAGACAUAAGCACCUUGGAUGUAAUACGUUUCAUCCUUCUGGGUGGCUGAUAACCCCACAUAUUCAUGAUCUGGCCUCAAAUCAGGUAGGGCUACCCGCUGAACUUAA